UGGAGCAUGUUGCUUAAUUCGAAGCAACGCGAAGAACCUUACCUGGGUUUGACAUGCACGGAUUAACUCCUUGAAAGAGGAGCCACGCCCUCGGGUGGAACGUGCACAGGUGCUGCAUGGCUGUCGUCAGCUCGUGCUGUGAAGUGUCGGGUUAAGUCCCUUAACGAGCGCAACCCCUGUCGCUAGUUGCCAGCGCGUAAUGGCGGGGACUCUAGCGAGACUGCCGGUGUCAAACCGGAGGAAGGUGGGGAUGACGUCAAGUCCUCAUGGCCCUUAUGUCCAGGGUGGCAAACGUGCUACAAUGGCGUGUACAGAGCGAUGCGAUAUCGCGAGAUGGAGCAAAUCGCAAAAAGCACGCCCCAGUUCGGAUUGGAGUCUGCAACUCGACUCCAUGAAGCCGGAAUCGCUAGUAAUCGNGGAUCAGCCAUGCCGCGGUGAAUACGUUCCUGAGCNUUGUACACACCGCCCGUCAAGUCAUGGAAGCCGGGAGUGCCCGAAGUCGCCAUAU
rnacentral:rRNA from 1 species